ACCCAGCGGACAAGUCCAAAAUAGGAUAAAACGCGCGUCAUGGAU
rnacentral:hammerhead_ribozyme from 1 species